rnacentral:rRNA from 1 species
CCACGGGUGGUUGCAGUGGGGAAUAUUGGACAAUGGGCGAAAGCCUGAUCCAGCCAUGCCGCGUGUGUGAAGAAGGCCUUCGGGUUGUAAAGCACUUUCAGUGGGGAAGAAAGCCUUGGGGCUAAUACCCUCGAGGAAGGACAUCACCCACAGAAGAAGCACCGGCUAACUCCGUGCCAGCAGCCGCGGUAAUACGGAGGGUGCGAGCGUUAAUCGGAAUUACUGGGCGUAAAGCGCGCGUAGGCGGUCUGAUAAGCCGGUUGUGAAAGCCCCGGGCUCAACCUGGGAACGGCAUCCGGAACUGUCAGGCUAGAGUGCAGGAGAGGAAGGUAGAAUUCCCGGUGUAGCGGUGAAAUGCGUAGAGAUCGGGAGGAAUACCAGUGGCGAAGGCGGCCUUCUGGACUGACACUGACGCUGAGGUGCGAAAGCGUGGGUAGCAAACAGGAUUAGAUACCCGGGUAGUC